rnacentral:lncRNA from 1 species
UAACCUAAAAGCCCUUCCCCUAAAAUGAGAUUGAUGACUUCUCUUUAUGCCAUCCUAGAGCCCUCACCCAGUGGCUGAUGGAAGCAGAGACAGACAUCCACAGAUAUACACUGAGCUGAGUUGAAGAGAGGGGCGAUUGUAGAUCCUGUCAAAUUCACAGUAACCAUCAAGAGUCUGGAUGAUGUAAACUAGUGCAGCCACUGUGGAAAUCAGUGUGGAGGCCUCAGAAUUUCUGCCUGUGUAAUCUUCGAGACUUCUUAGAACAGUGAAAACACCAGCAGCCAUAUGCAGAAACCACUUUGUCCUAGAGCAAGAUGUGGAUAAAUUAACCAGAAGCACCCAGCUUUAUUGUAAGGUCAUCUACCAGAGGGAGCAGCUGGUCAUAUGGAGCCAGAGACUUGGGGCUGGACUCAAGGUUCCACUGAUUGUGUACAGUUUUUGCAAAACCUUUG